UCGCCUCUCCCGGGCCUUCUCUCUCACGCCGGCCGCAGGGCGGGCGCGCACGCCGAGUGACGCUCCGAGGAGGAAGCGCAGCCCCCUUCCCCUCCCUCGCUGCCCCUGGCCCAGCGGGAGCCCCCCCAGUGCGCCUGUGCGGAGGCCUACUUGAUUAUGUGUGCCCUCUCCGGGUUCCAGCGUUAGCGGCCGGGUGGAGGUGGGGAGGGAAGAAGAAGAGGAGGAGGAGGCGGAGGAGGCGGUGGAGGGGAGGUGGGGGGAGUCAGCAAGGACAUGGCUCCUGACUCCUGUGCGGAACAUGGUCUCUAGCGACCGGCCCGUGUCACUGGAGGACGAGGUCUCCCAUAGUAUGAAGGAGAUGAUUGGAGGCUGUUGCGUUUGCUCAGACGAGAGAGGCUGGGCCGAGAACCCGCUGGUUUAUUGCGACGGGCACGGCUGCAGCGUCGCGGUGCAUCAAGCUUGCUAUGGCAUUGUUCAAGUACCCACUGGACCAUGGUUUUGCAGAAAAUGUGAAUCUCAGGAGAGAGCAGCCAGAGUGAGAUGUGAACUGUGUCCUCAUAAGGAUGGAGCUUUAAAAAGAACAGAUAAUGGCGGUUGGGCUCAUGUGGUUUGUGCCCUUUAUAUUCCAGAGGUACAGUUUGCCAAUGUUUCUACCAUGGAACCAAUUGUUUUACAGUCUGUUCCACAUGAUCGUUAUAAUAAGACUUGCUACAUUUGUGAUGAACAAGGCAGAGAAAGCAAGGCAGCCACUGGUGCUUGCAUGACGUGUAAUAAACACGGAUGUCGACAGGCUUUCCAUGUGACAUGUGCUCAGUUUGCUGGACUACUUUGUGAAGAAGAGGGUAAUGGCGCAGAUAACGUCCAAUACUGUGGCUACUGUAAAUACCAUUUUAGUAAGCUGAAAAAGAGCAAACGGGGAUCUAAUAGGUCAUAUGAUCAAAGUUUAAGUGAUUCUUCCUCUCACUCUCAGGAUAAACAUCAUGAGAAAGAGAAAAAAAAAUAUAAAGAAAAGGAUAAACACAAACAAAAACACAAGAAGCAACCAGAACCAUCACCUGCAUUGGUUCCUUCCUUGACUGUUACUACAGAAAAAACUUACACAAGCACUAGCAGCAAUUCUAUAUCUGGAUCAUUGAAGCGCUUGGAAGAUACUGCAGCACGAUUUACAAAUGCAAAUUUCCAGGAAGUCUCUGCGCACACAACUAGUGCAAAAGAUGUUUCUGAGGCUAGAGGGUCAGAGGGCAAAGGGAAGAAAUCUUCAGCUCACAGCUCAGGUCAAAGGGGAAGAAAGCCUGGUGGAAGAAAUCCAGGGACGACUGUGUCAGCAGCUAGUCCUUUCCAGCAAGGCAGUUUUUCAGGAACUCCAGGCAGUGUAAAAUCAUCUUCGGGAAGUUCAGUACAGUCUCCCCAGGAUUUCUUGAGCUUUACAGACUCAGAUCUGCGUAAUGACAGUUACACUCACUCCCAACAGUCAUCAUCAACCAAAGAUGUACAUAAAGGAGAGUCUGGAAGCCAGGAAGGGGGGGUAAAUAGUUUUAGUUCCAUAAUUGGUCUUCCUUCAACCUCAGCUGUUAUUUCACAGCCUAAAAGCUUUGAAAAUUCACCUGGAGAUUUGGGUAAUUCCAGCCUUCCUACAGCAGGAUAUAAGCGGGCUCAAACUUCUGGCAUAGAAGAAGAAACUGUAAAAGAAAAGAAAAGAAAAGGAAAUAAGCAAAGUAAGCAUGGGCCUGGUAGACCCAAAGGAAACAAAAAUCAAGAGAAUGUUUCUCAUCUCUCAGUUUCUUCUGCUUCACCAACGUCAUCUGUAGCAUCAGCUGCAGGAAGUGUAACCAGCUCUAGUCUCCAGAAAUCCCCCACGCCGCUCAGGAAUGGGAGCGUCCAGAGCCUUAGUGUGGGCUCCUCUCCACUUGGUUCAGAAAUUUCCAUGCAGUAUCGGCAUGAUGGAGCUUGUCCAACAACUACUUUCUCAGAGUUGCUGAAUGCAAUACACAAUGACAGAGAUGACAGUUCUACACUAACAAAGCAGGAACUUAAAUUCAUAGGUAUUUAUAACAGCAAUGAUGUAGCAGUCUCGUUUCCAAAUGUAGUAUCUGGCUCAGGCUCCAGUACUCCUGUCUCCAGUUCUCAUUUACCUCAGCAACCUUCUGGGCAUUUACAACAAGUGGGAGCUCUCUCCCCAUCAGCCACGUCAUCUGCACCCUCUGCUGUUGCUGCAACUCAGGCAAAUGCCCUGUCUGGAUCUUCUCUUGGUCAGGCACAGUCUCAUAUGUACGGCAGUAGAUUAAAUCCCAGUUCAUCAAUGGCAGCUCUUAUAGCUCAGUCUGAAAACAAUCAAACAGAUCAAGAUCUUGGAGACAAUAGCCGUGGCCUUGUUGGCAGAGGAAGCUCCCCCCGAGGAAGUCUCUCACCACGAUCCCCUGUAAGCAGCUUACAGAUCCGCUAUGAUCAACCAGGCAACAGCGGUUUGGAAAACCUGCCUCCAGUAGCAGCCAGCAUAGAACAGCUUUUGGAGAGGCAGUGGAGUGAAGGACAGCAGUUUUUAUUAGAACAGGGCACUCCUAGUGACAUUUUAGGAAUGCUGAAGUCAUUACACCAACUUCAAGUUGAAAAUCGAAGAUUAGAGGAGCAGAUUAAAAACUUGACUGCCAAAAAGGAACGCCUUCAAUUACUGAAUGCACAGCUCUCAGUGCCUUUUCCAACAAUAACAAAUCCUAGCCCAUCCCAUCAAAUGCAUGCAUUUUCAGCACAGAAUGCUCCUACUACUGAUUCCUUGAACAGCAGUAAGAGUCCUCAUCUAGGAAAUAGCUUUUUACCUGAUAAUUCUCUUCCUGUAUUAAAUCAGGACUUAACCUCCAGUGGACAAAGCACCAGCAGCUCAUCGGCUCUUUCUACUCCACCUCCUGCUGGGCAGAGUCCAGCUCAGCAGGGCUCAGGCGUUAGUGGAGUUCAGCAGGUCAAUGGUGUGACAGUAGGGGCACUGGCUAGUGGAAUGCAGACUGUAACAUCCACCAUCCCUGCCGUGCCUGGAGUGGGUGGAAUAAUUGGAGCUUUGCCAGGUAACCAACUGGCAAUUAAUGGCAUUGUGGGAGCUUUAAAUGGGGUUAUUCAGACCCCUGUCACAAUAUCCCAGAACCCUGCCCCCCUCACCCAUACAACUGUACCACCUAAUGCAACACAUCCAAUGCCAGCUACACUGACUAACAGUGCCUCAGGACUAGGAUUACUUUCUGACCAGCAAAGACAAAUAUUUCUUCAUCAACAGCAAUUCCAGCAGUUGUUAAAUUCACAACAGCUCACACCAGAGCAGCACCAGGCCCUUCUGUAUCAGCUGGUGCAGCAGCAUCACCACCAGCAGCACCACCAGCCUGAUCUACAGCAGCUGCAGCUCCCGGCACCCACGCAGAUUCCCAUAAACAACCUGCUCGCAGGCACUCAGGCCCCCCCUCUUCACCCAGCCACCACCAACCCGUUCCUCACCAUCCACGGCGACAGUACCAGUCAGAAGGUGACAGUCUACUUUACUGGAGUAUAAAUGUUUCCCUUAAAUUCCAGUUCAGGGCAGAACCCUGUUAGAGGAAGGAUAUUGGGAUGUAGAAUGGAGACUGGACAUCAGGAAAAGGAAGAAGGGAGAGAAUGAGAGACUUAGUGAUAAAACUGGGCCUGUUGCUCAAGAGAAAAGCUGACGCUUGAGAAGCGAGUAGAAAUCGCCGGUCCUGCUGCUCUGCCGCCCCCCCCCCCCCCCCCCCCGGCUGCACCUGCAGCCUCUGUGCACCUGUGAAGAGAUGCAGCACGAAACCCACUGCACGACAAAGGGUUAACUGCCACACGCGCAGUCUUGUAAGGCUUUGGUUGAUUUUCUUGCUUUGUUGCACUGAAACGGAAUUCUCAUAUCUCCCACCCCACCCAGAUUUUUUGAACUUUGAAAAAAGAAUUAAUAACUAACUUUUGUCAGUGAAAUAAUUUACAUGCAAUGAGUUUAUCAACCUAAGAGAAAUUUAAUAUAGUUGGUACACAACUAAUUUUGUUACAAAUUGGAGAGAUGAAUAGCAAAACUAAAGACUUAUUCCGUUUAUAAUCUAUUUGAUUUUAUUGUAUGAGUUGGAAUAUGAAAUAUGGUCUUUUGGGUUUUAGAAUGCUUGCUCUGUGAGUCCAAUCUUAAAAAGAAAUUUCAAGGAACUGUCUUAAUUUCUUCUACUGGAAUUUUAUUGGUUAAAUAUUACAAAUAAAUAGGUCAUCCACUGGGACUUGGCAAUCUUUAUUAUAAAAAUUUCCCUUCUAAUAGGAUUUGGCCAAUUUUGGUAAUCAAGUUAGGAUGGUAAAUGUCUGCUUCUGCUAAAGAUAAUUUUCUUUCACUAAAUGCCUUUUCUUUGGUUUUAAGGCCUACUCGUAUUUUAAGGAAACCUUGAGUUAAGCCAGUUCUAAGGCUGCUGGGGGAACCAGAUCAAUUCAAAGUGAAAGAGGGGCCACUCUGGAAACUGCUGGUAGGGUUUGGCCUGCAUCAAGUGCCUGUUAGCACCUGCCUUGUGCUGAAAGGGCUCCGGACAGCUGAGCCUGCGUGCGUUAGUCCUUGCGAGUAGCGGGAGUAGUCAGUGUCGCACCAGCAGCCUUCCCCGUGGUUCUGCCUUUAUUAAAAACUUACUAUGCCACUGUAGGUAGCUCAGGCAAAACUAUUACCUGGGUGUUUAUCCACUAAUGAGUCACAAGGAAAAUGAAUGGAUUUGGUAAGAAUUCUUUUUUGUUCUUAAUUUAGACAACUUCCCAUUAUUGACAAUGAUUUCAAACAAAUAAAACAAGACAAAAACCCACCACUACAGUUCCUGAAACAGGUGAAAUCUGUAUUACAGCCCUUCCACGUUGGGUAGCCCCACUCCUGGUGCGACAGUAUGAGAGAGUAUAAAUUAAACAACUGGAGAUGUAAUCACUGAGCUGUUCUUAAAUGUGUGAAUUAUUAGUGGAAAAGACCCAGCUGUAAUUAGACCUCCACUGUGUACUUAGCUGGAAGAACAUGUUAAUUCUGCAAUAUGUCUCUUGGUUAAACAUUGCACAGUUCUUACCUCAUUUCUGUAAAUAAGGUUUUGUGAAUCUGUUUUGUAUUGUGAAAAAUUCAUAAGAUAACAUUGAUAUUUUGAUUUGUAAUAUUUCUAAUUGGUAGAUUUAAUUGAAAAGUAAAUUAAUUUAUUUUUGUAUGUUCAGGGGAAUUUUAAAGAAAGUCAAAUCUUUUGUAGAUAAUUAAAAAAAAUCGGUGUGGUUUAUUUUACUUAUUUAACCCACUGGUUGUUAUUCUGUAACAAUUUGUAUAAAUGGUAAAUUUCGAAUGUGUUGUUAUUUUACUUAGAUGUAAAAUUCCACAUGUAUUAAAGAAAAUGUACAGUUUUUGUUAAUAAAAUUUAAUAAUGUUUAUAA